rnacentral:RNase_P_RNA from 1 species
CUGUUGCGGCGCAGGAGGUCGCCGGGGGCGCGUCGUCCACGUGGUGGGCGGCGCCUCUCGGAGGAAAGUCCGGGCUCCACAGGGCAGAGCGCCAGGUAACGCCUGGUGGGGGUGACCCCGAGGAAAGUGCCACAGAAAACACACCGCCAGGCAGCGCCUGGUAAGGUUGAAAUGGUGGGGUAAGAGCCCACCGCGUGGGCGGUGACGCGCACGGCUAGGUAAACCCCGCUCGGAGCAAGGCCAAAUAGAGGAGCGCUCGAGGGCUGCCCGCCCAAGCUCCCGGGUAGGCUGCUGGAGGGCCUCGGUGACGGGGCUCGUAGAGGAAUGAUCUCCAGCGGCGUCGGGGCGACCCGGCGCCGACACAGAACCCGGCUUACGCACCCAACAGCCAC